UUGAACAUGACCACUAUAUUCAUCAGAAGUUUCUACUUUUGUCCAUUUUUUCACUUUGCCAUCACUCUCCACAUCCAAAUCCAAAGCAUAAAUACUAUAUAGUUCAUCAAAUUGGCCCCUUCCCACCAAUAUCAACUUCCCUUGACACGCUGUCAAAUAUGCCACGCUGGUAAUCCCUGCUGGCAACCCCCGACACGAUGUCAAAUAUGCCACGCUAGUAAUCCCUGCUGGCAACCUCGUCAACUUCCGCCACGUAGGAUCUUCCUUCACUGCCACGUCACCGCCUCGGCACAUGUAUAAUUUCCCAUCAUCACCUUCAAUGCAACUAUGAGGAGAAGUGUUGAUCACACUCAAGAAGUCAUCUUCCAGUUGCCACUGCCACGUGGCGGUGUCGAACACCUCAGCAUCAUUCUCAAAGUGACCUUGCGCCCACGUAGGAUAACCGCCGAUGACGUGGAAUUUACCUUUGUGAAAUACAACCUUACAUUCGUCUCUCUCCAUGACCAUGUCAGGAAGUGUAAUCCACUCGUCUUUAACGACGUCGUAUGAGAGCGCCGAUUUCAUCGCAUUCUUUUCGUCGUCAUGGCCACCGGCGACGACGAUCAUUCUAUUGGAAUCCGAUGCACAUCCGAAGAAUGACCUCUGCUGACCUGGCAUAUCCGCCCCACGACGCCAUGACCCGGAUAUGAAAUUGUAAACGAAAACACAAUCCAUAACCCGCCAAGUAUCCGGAUCACACCCGCCAAUCACUACUAAAUCCGACCCGACUCCAACAAUCCGGCAAAACCUCGGCAAUCCAUCAAUCAACUCCGGUAUCGGCGGCAAAUCAUACCAGGAGCCGUUUUCCGGGUCACAUACAGAGAGCCGGUAAACCUGAGUAGAAAAAAGUGCAGUAUCACCCUCUGGUUUUUUCACAGUAGCAACCAUAGAUUGUACCAUGGCGAAAACGGUUCGGGUCAACCCAGAAACUUUCCGCCGGCGGCGAAACUCCGGCAACGUGAUCUCGCCGUUCCAUUUUUUGCAUACUGAAGCUGCUUUAGAAAAUUGAUCAACAGGUAGACGUAUGAGACAUUCAAGAGCUAUUUCAUUAGGUAUCCCCGGGAUCAGGUCCAUGGCCCUAGCUCGCCUUUUUGGUAUAUUAUGAUUUGGUCGUAAAUUUGUAUGGAAGAAAAUAUUUGAAGUAAAUUUAGUUAUGUUUUUUCCUUUUUCAGAUUUAGUAGAAAGGGAAAUAAAAUCAUGAAUUUAUGGGGCAAAAUGAAAGGACAUAAUUUAUGGAACGUUGGUUUGACAAAACUGUAAGCGUGACUGGGUCCAGUUUUAUAGUGUUCGUUGGGGAUGGAUAAUGAGUAGUGAAACAAGUUAAAGAGUUUACUUUGUGAAGUAGCAGUGGGGGCAAAGUGGAGGGCACAGAGUCCAGAGAGGUUGUUUUCAGAGUAAUACACACAAGUACUGCAACUUGGUGAAUACGGCUAUAAUCAAAAUUAUAAUUGGCUGGCUAUAAUAUUUAUAGAGUAAUUACAGGCAUAUAACGCGUAGAAGUUCUUGCGAUUGUCACGUGCCAUGACAUCAUUUAUUUAUUUUUUAUCCGAUCUAUAUUAUAUUGUAAAGUUAAAUUGUUCCUAAUUAUAAAAUGGUGACAUUAUUUUUGAGACAGACUAAAAAAAAAAAGAGCGUUAAAUAAAUUGAAACAAAGAGAGUAUCUCACAAGUCAUAUGGUCUCUACAUCAAAUAUAUAGCUAGGUUUAUAAUUGUAAAAUAAUACAUUUAUGUUAAGACUAUAUUUUGUUAAAACAACCCCACAUUAUUAUAUCUACUAACCAUUUAUUUCAUAUGUAAAUAAAAUCUAUAAUCACAUCAUUAUUUUUUAAAAUUUAUUAUUCUCACCAACAUAAAAUUCAUUAUUAAUUUUAAAUUGACGAAUAUAAAUGAUAAAGUAGAAAUUGAUUUGGUGAAUACAAAUAAGAAUCGAGGGAGUAAUAUUUUUUUGGUUUUUCAUAGUAAAAAAAAAAUCUCUUUCGGCUAAAUAUGAAAAUGUUUAAAACAAUUUAAUAUUAAAAUGGACAAAAUUGGUGAUGUAUGUUUGAUAGUUACUACUUCCAGUAUGUUUGAUUUUAGCACGAAACUAAUGCAUUGAAAAUGUGCAAUUGCACACAGGUGAAAUAAGGCAUGAACCAUUAUGAUAUUGACACACACGUGAAAAUUGUCAUAGCUUGUACAAUGUCACAUUUUGCGAGAAUACCAAAGAAGUGAUGGAAUAUUUAUGGUCUAUGAGCAUGAAAAUAUAGUUGCGGAUGAUAUUGACCAACAAAUGGCUCAAAUUAACAAUGUUGGUUCGUCUUCUUUGUCAUAUGAUCGAGAUAUGCAAGUUCAACGUGAGGAGAUUGUAUGUAUUAUGUGGGAGAAUUAUAUUAAAGAUCAGUACGUACACUACAAUUUUAUGUUCAAUUUUUUUAUUGAAUUAAAGUUUGAUCAAUUAAAAUUAGAAGAAAUUGUUACUUAAGUGGAGAACAAAUAACUUUGUAAUAAUUUAUUAUGCGAUUUUAUAAAUUUUUGUUUAUUUUAUAAGAUUGAAUAAACAAUUGGGGGCUAUUUUAAUAGUUUCACAACUUAUAGAAUUCUUAUGUUUAUGAGAAAAUAUACAACACACAUAUUCAAUAUCACAUGUCCAAACAAAACUUCAUUUUCGUCUCAUGAUUUCAUAUUAUGAUAUCAUAUCAUGAUUCUAUAUAAUGAUUUCAUAUCGCAUAUCCAAACAGGCCCUUAAUAUAUACUUAUUUUGUCUAACUUCAGACAAAAAUAUGUUCCUUCUUCACUUUUUCCUCGAACGUCCUCUUCUUUUAUUUCAAAUUUUAAUUUGGUGUUGGUAUGGAGAGUUAAUGCACGCAUGAAUGUAACAAAUACAAUCAUCUGAUAUUUUAAAAAUAUGUAGAAAAGAGAGAAGUGGAAACAUAUAAUACAAUUCAACAAAUACAAUUGCUUAACACUUAAAAAAUAUAGGCCUAACCCAUUGGUAGCCCCCUAAAGUUGGCAUCAUGUUUCACUUAGACAACUUAAGGAGGCAAUGUUCAUUUUAGACAGUUAAUGUAGGGUUUCAUUGUGUCAUUUUGACACUUUUUGUUUACAUAGCAUAACAUUGACUAGCGUGUGAAAUGAUUUUUUUUGUUAAUUUUUAAUUAUAUUUUUCUUCUUCUUCCCAUUUUUUAGCUACCAUUUUGCAUACAUCGUGAAUGAAGGUUUCAAUAACUGAUGGAGUGAAUUUCUUUGAACUAGCAAAAUCUUUCAUUCACUUAAACCUAUUAAUUAGGCCAAAAAAAGAAGGAGAAAGUGACUGUAAAAUUUUUCAAUGGCGCACAGAUUUAGUGAACCAAUGCAGAUGUUUCUGUCAAAGGAAUAAAGGUAUUUAGAGAAGACAAGCCGAUGGGCCAUUUUCUGCAAAAGGUAUGGCGAAGACACACGUUGGGCGGAGAGGAUAAUCAGUGUUUUAGGGGGUGGGGUAUUUGGAGAAAACUGUUUGGGGUGGGGGGUUUCUUUUAUUGAUUUAAGUUUUAUUUUAAUUUGUAAUUAUUUGGUUCAUGUGUCAUAUUAUCAUUGGCUAAUUUUUAUUUUCACUCAAAAUUAAUGAUUUAAAAAUUACUUUUGACAUAAAUGACAAAUGUCGUUAUUUAAUUUGUCACUUUACACGUCGUUCGCGAGUGUAACACACACAUUAUAUAUUUUUGUUGAUAUAAAAAAAGUGUCAAAAUAACACAAUGGGACCCAAUAUUAAGUGUCUAAAAUGAACAUCGCCUACUUAAGAUGUCUAACUGAAAUAUGGUGCCAACUUUAGGGGACUAUCGAUGGAUUAGGCCAAAAAUAUAUAUACAAAUAUAGGCACAGAAGGUGGAAACACAUGCUACAAUCUAAAUCCACUAUGAAAUAUGAAUACAAUAAUUAUAUAUAUCCAAAAAAAUAAUAUAAAUACAGUUGUUUGGUACCUCAACAAAUAUAGAAAUACUUAGAGGGGAGAGUGAAAAUACAAAAUACAAAUAAAGAGGGUGGGGAAAGAUAGAUAUGUUUGUUUGUUUUUUUUACUUAGCAUCUCAAACAAUGUUGAUAUGAAUCGUAAAUAUUCAAACUAUAAUUUUAGAUGGUUAAUUAUAUACCCAAAAUGAUAGUCAUGUUUGAAAUUUUCUCAUUAAUUUAUUCGCAUCAAAGGGAAAAUAUUUGAAACUCCAAUAGUUGACACACCACUAUUAUAAUAUAAGUAUUUCCUCCAUUUUAUUUUAAUAUGUUUCAAAAAGAAACGUCUUUUUUUUUAAGACAAACUCUUUAGUAUUAGCUUUCCACAUAACAUAUUUAAGUUAUCAGAUUAAAAGACAAUUUUAAUGCAUUUUUAGAUAUCUUUAGUUUAAAACCACGAAAUUUUUUUUAAAAAAUAUUUUCUUUAAUGUGAAAGGGAGGGAGAGUACUAGGUAAAACUAUAUAUGUCAUUUACUAUAUAUGGCGUUUACUUGAAAAAAUGCUGAUUAGAGCUUUAUGUAGGAUUCGAGACUGGACCAUUCAACAAAGGUGGACCAUGCAUAUAUAGGCCAUAACUCACUUUUGCUUUUUUGUUUUACCCUUUAAUUUUCUAUACUAACUUGGGAUAUUAAUUGGAUCACACUUUUAUAUGGAUGUGGUAGAAUUAUAUAUUCAUAUCUAUUGAAUUACUAGAUAUAGGACCCCGUGCCAGCACGGGGCCCAAUAUAUAUAUAUAUUUUUUUUUUAUUAUUAUUAUUAUUUUUUUUUAAUUUAUGUCAUAUUAUGGAAUUUGAGAAAUUAUUGAAAAUUUUAUAUGAUUUUUAAAAUAUUUUAAAUUGUUAGCUAUUGUGAUUUGUAGUACUUUUUUUUUAACAUAAUUUUGAAAAUAAUAUUUAUUACUCUCUUUGUUCUAAUUUAUGUGGCACAUGCAAAAUUUCAAAUAUUAACCCUUUUUUAUAUGUCUCUUUAAUAUAUUAAGUUGUUAAUUAUUGUAUUUUAUACUACAUUUUGAACCUACUUUUUUAAUAAUAUAUGUUAUUUGCCAUGUCCCAAUUUAUGUGGCAUUAAUUGAUAGAUUUGUUGGAGCUUGUUAAUUAUUGUAAUAUAUAAUAUGGAGUAUUUAAGUUAUAUAUAUUUAUUAUUAUUAUAAAUAUAAAUAUAAAUAUUAUAUGUUACCUUUUUUAUCUUAAUUUAUAUGGCAUUGAUAGAAUUUAAAGUGUCAAAUAAUUGUUAAUUAUUGUAAUAUAUAAUAUGGAGUAUUUAAGUUAUAUAUAUUUAUUAUUAUUAUAAAUAUAAAUAUAAAUAUUAUAUGUUACCUUUUUUAUCUUAAUUUAUAUGGCAUUGAUAGAAUUUAAAGUGUCAAAUAAUUGUUAAUUAUUGUAAUAUAUAAUAUGGAGUAUUUAAGUCAUUUAUAGUAUAGUAAUUAAUAUAUAAUAUGUAGUAUUAAAGUGGAAAGUGGUGGGGCCCACGUAUAAAUAUAUUGGAUAUUAGUAGUGAUUCUUAUUGGAACACAUGUUGAGGUGUGGUGCUUGGUUAUUCACACUUAUUAUAUAUAGUAAUAUAAAUUUUAAAAGAAAAGAUUCUUUGAGUCUUCUCGAAGGAAAAAGACCGCAAAGAGAAGUUCAUGAUAUCUCUUUCGGAUGAAUUGUCAAAAGUUUAAAAUUUAUAAAUCGUGAAUUCAUAUAACAAUAUAAUUUAGUCAUUGAGUUCAUACAUUUAAUAUGUUGAGAGAGAUCUAAACAAAACUUAUUUGAUUUGUUCGAGCCAACACCUCUUUCUACCAAAGAAACAUGACAUGAAGGGUGAUGGUCAAGUGUUCUGGCAUGAUUCGUUGUCAUGGAAAAAUCCAUUUGCUUAUAACACUACUAUAAAAUGUGAUAGUUUUGGCAACAUUGUAUGUUUUAUAUAUUGGAGAUUUCAAAGUUUUUAAUUGUCUUUUUAUAUAUAUACCAUAUUAUUGUAAGCUAACCAAUGAUGUGGACAACUCGUGUAAAAUACUUUGCCACAGCUAGUUUUAAUCUUUUGUUAUUAUAAUGAUAGUAUAAAAUUUGUUUAAACUAUUAAAUAUAACACAAAUUAUUUAACUCGUGCGUUACAUGCUUGAUUUAUUAAGUGUACCUGAGUCGGGUAUAAAAAAUGAUACUCUUUCUAUAUUCAUUCACAAGAUAAAAAUAAUUAAGAUUGCGUACACAUUACUAUCUUCAAACCCCGCGCAUAGAAAGAAACUUUAGAGUGACGAAAAUUGUGGAGUAGAUUUUUUUUGUUAGUAUCCCAAACUUUAUUAGUCACUACCAUAAGAUUCUCUAUAGCUGGACAAAGCUGCUACGUAAAUAAAAUAAAAGGGGAAAGAAGAAAAAGAGGUAAGGUUGUUUUUAAAACUGAAAGGAAUAAAGGGAAGAGGAAAAAGGAAAAGCGACUAAAUUAAAUUAAAUUAAAUUAAAUGGGAAUAAAGGUAAUCUUCUUGUUUUUUAACAAAGGCUAACCACACUAUAGAUGACUAGCCAUAAAGGCAAAAUGUAUGGUUCAAAUUGCAGACGUGGUAAUGUACACAUUUUAUGUUAGAUGAGAAAACACACUUGAACCAAAAAAAAUAAAAAAAAUAAUGAGAAAAGACGUUUCCUAUUGGUGUUCUAGAUUCGCGCCAUGUAUGACCUAUUAGCGUUGUUUAUCAAGAAUAUUUUCAUCUUCAAAAGUCAAAUUCGAGACUUUUGAUUGAGGAAAGAGCAACUUCAUUCACUUUACCACGUAACAGAUGAUAGUUUUUUCGAUUAUUAGACGGCAACUGACAUUCGAUUAUUCUUUGUCCAUUUUUAGUGCUGUUAAAUCGAUUAGUAUAAUUUGUUUGUUUCCGCAUGUUUGUACGAAGAAUAAGGAAUAGUUAUUAAUUUCAUAAUUAAUUUAAGAUGCAUUUAUUAUAUGUUUGAUUGAGAUAAAAUUAUAAGAUAAUUUACUUUGAGAUUGUAGUGUUAUUUUUAUCCCACAUUAAGAAUGACGAGGCGAGUAACAAAUAUAAAGAGAUAUUAAUAUGGUGCAAAAGAGAGAAAUAAAAUACCCUCUAAUUAAAAAAAAAUUAUUAAAGGGAUGUACAAAACAAAAUACACCCUUGAUUCCUUUUUAUUUGUCACAGUUUCAUUUUUAUAGUGAAACGAUAUGAACUUUGACUAAUAAUUUAAGAUGUAUUUUUCAGUAUUAUUGAUAUAAAAAAAAUUGUAAUUUCUAGUACUUUUUGUAUAGUUUUUGAAUAUCUAAUUUUUUUAUUUUUAAAUAUAUUAAAUUAAUGCAAAACAUUGAAAGUUAAUACUCUAAAAAAAUGUAACGUGACGGCUAAACAGGAACGGAUGGAGUAUAACAAGCAAGAUGGACCAUAGGGAGAAAUUUCUUCCUCAUUAAUACUUAUUAUUGAUUUGUCAGGAAGAAGAAUCAUCUUACCAAGUUGAUUAGCUAAUUAAUCUGAUUAUAAAGUCAACUCCAACAUUAUUGUAAUGAGCAUUAAUUAAUAAUAACAUGUUUAAUUGAACAAAUUCAAGCAUUAGCCACCGAUAUCAUCGAUCCACUUGCUCUAAACCAUCCAUUUUUCAACUUCAUUAUUUUGAGAAUGUAUAAUAGCUUCUUCCCAUAUUUUUUAAUUAAAUGAUGUUUGCAGAUAAUUAUUGAUUCAUUACACUUAAUGUCAAUAAAAUUGAUUUUUGUAACGAAAAAAUUACUCAACUAUGUUUAUAUCGUAAAGGAAAUUUUAAAAUAUCAACAAAAUGAUAUUUUUUUCUUUUUCUUGGUAUUUUUAUUUUGGGAUCCCACUAAUUCAGCAUUUUCGAUAAAAUGUUUUGUUCGACUCUACAAACACAAAUAUCUCUAUAGUAGUACCAAGCAAAAACGUUUUUUUCCUCCAUUAGAUUAGCAAAAGUGUGGCACAAUAGUAAUCUUUAACCAUGACUGCAAGAAAUUGAAUGUCAAAUGUAGGCAGUAGGCCAAUACUAUGCUUUUUCACAUGUAGUAUUUUGUCAAAACAUGAUUCACAAUACACAAUGGUACAUAGCCAAAAAUAAAAGCAAUCAUGACAGAAUAAUUUUAUUUUAUUUUUCCAUUUGUUAUCUGAUAAUCGUAUUAAGGUUUGAUUAGUCCAAAUUUGUAUAUUACAUGACUCAUUGUUAAAGGCGGUGCUUCCAACAAAAUUAAAAAAUGAGACGGAUCGAGAUAGAAGAUCUCUAACCAUGACCAUAAUGCAAUAACAAUAUGUAGAUAGUAAUCAAUAUGGAUCGUGGUGAAAUGAUUGAGAUUCCUCUAUCCUUGACCAGAAAUUUCAUAUUCGAGCCCUAAUAUGCCGAAUGAAAAAAGAAGACAAUAUGCAGAUAGUAAACCAAUUCAAAACUUGAAACACAAUACACAACUGUACAUGCUAAAAAUUAGAGCAAUCAUGCCAGAAUAAUUGAGUAUCUUAGAAAGGAAAUUAAAAGGACAAAAAAACACUCUCAUUCUUAAAACUAAGUACUGAUUUUUGUCAUAUUUCCAAACAACAACCAUAUUGAACAUGACCACUAUAUUCAUCAGAAGUUUCUACUUUUGUCCAUUUUUUCACUUUGCCAUCACUCUCCACAUCCAAAUCCAAAGCAUAAAUACUAUAUAGUUCAUCAAAUUGGCCCCUUCCCACCAAUAUCAACUUCCCUUGACACGCUGUCAAAUAUGCCACGCUGGUAAUCCCUGCUGGCAACCCCGCCAACUUCUGCCACGUAGGAUCUUCCUUCACUGCCACGUCACCACCUCGGCACAGGUAUAAUCUCCCAUCAUCACCUUCAAUGCAACUAUGAGGAGAAGUGUUGAUCACACUCAAGAAGUCAUCUUCCAGUUGCCACUGCCACGUGGCGGUGUCGAACACCUCAGCAUCAUUCUCAAAGUGACCUUGCGCCCACGUAGGAUAACCGCCGAUGACGUGGAAUUUACCUUUGUGAAAUACAACCUUACAUUCGUCUCUCUCCAUGACCAUGUCAGGAAGUGUAAUCCACUCGUCUUUAACGACGUCGUAUGAGAGCGCCGAUUUCAUCGCAUUCUUUUCGUCGUCAUGGCCACCGGCGACGACGAUCAUUCUAUCGGAAUCCGAUGCACAUCCGAAGAACGACCUCUGCUGACCUGGCAUAUCCGCCCCACGACGCCAUGACCCGGAUAUGAAAUUGUAAACGAAAACACAAUCCAUAACCCGCCAAGUAUCCGGAUCACACCCGCCAAUCACUACUAAAUCCGACCCGACUCCAACAAUCCGGCAAAACCUCGGCAAUCCAUCAAUCAACUCCGGUAUUGGCGGCAAAUCGUACCAGGAGCCGUUUUCCGGGUCACAUACGGAGAGACGGUAAACCUGAGUAGAAAAAAGUGCAGUAUCACCCUCUGAUUUUUUCACAGUAGCAACCAUAGAUUGUACCAUGGCUAAAACGGGUCGGGUCAACCCGGAAAAUUUCCGCCGGCGGAGAAACUCCGGCAACUUGAUCUCACCGUUCCAUUUUCUACAUACUGAAGCUGCUUUAGAAAAUUGAUCAACAGGGAGACGUAUGAGACAUUCAAGAGCUAUUUCAUUAGGUAGCCCCGGGAUCAAGUCCAUGGCUCUAGCUUACUUUUUUUGUAUUAUGAUUUGCUUUUGGAUUGGAAGAAAUAUUUGAAGCAAUUUUAGUUAUGGUUUUUCCAUUUUCAGAUUUAGUAGAAAGGGAAAUAAAAUGAUGAAUUUAUGACAAAAUGGAAGGACGUUGGUUUGACAAAACCGUAAGCGUGUGUGGGUGCAGGUUUAUACUGUUUGUUGCGGAUGGAUAAAUGAGUAGGGACACAAAAAAAGAGUUUACUUUGUGAAGUAGCAGUAGGGGCAAAGGAGAGGUUGUUUUCAGAGUAAUACACAAGUAGCGCAACUUGGUGAAUACGGCUAUAAUCAAAAUUAUUAUAAUAUUUAUAGAGGUACAGGCAUAUGAUGUUAAGAAGUUCUUGCGAUUGUCACGUGCCAUGACAUCAUGUUUUAAUUGAUACGAUUCGUAUUGAAUUCCAACUAAAUUAUGAGUACUUAUAUAACAUAGUACUUGAUAAAAAAAAAGUCAAAAGUUAUGAAGUUUUAAGUAUAAAUUAUUAAAAAACAAAGUAAAAUAAUAAAUUUAUUUAUUUAAAUUUUGGUGGAUAAAAUUAUUCGAUACUAUGCAGGGUGGAGGUACUACUCAUUUGGAGUACAUUAAACGCUCGAUAUGAAUAAUUUUCCAGUGGUUUCUUAGUCUUGGUCUUUCCAUUAUUUUGUUAAUUAUUAUAGUUGGCUAUUAAUAAUAUAUAUGCCUUUCUGGCCCCAUUCGUAAUGUUUACUGCUUGUCACUAAUAUUUUUUUAAUAUUGUCUUUUCAUUGUUUAAAACUAUCUAUGUUUUGUAAUUUUAUGUAAUGCAUUUUCACAACUCAUACCUUACCACUAAACAAUCGAUCAAUUUUGUUACGGGAUUCAUAAGUUAAUAUACACAUAUAUUUAUUUAAUUUUUUAAUAUAAAUACAAGAAUUACGGAAAAGCUACUGAGUUAGUCCAAAUCAGCAAACCCUCACUCAGCUCCGCCCCUUAUCCCAUCAUUUGUUGUUUACCCUUGCUUGGUAUUUAACUAUUCGAACACGUUCGGCAUCAAAUACGUUAAUGAUUUGUACUUUAUAACCAUUUAGUUUAAUGACAAUUAUAGAGUCGUGUUAUAAGAUGGGUCUCAAUAAUUAAUAAGAUAAUUCUCUUGUAGAAAAAUAUUACACAAAAACUAGCAAGUUUAAAAUAAAAUAAUGGAGAUAAUAAUCCGGUAAAUUGACUUUAUGCUAGUGCCUAUUUUUUAGCGGUUUAUUUGGUAUUUUGAAUAAUUUAAAUUUGUGCUGAAAAUUUUCAUAUUUGGAGGCAAAAACAUGUCCUACCCAAAAUUACCAGACUAACCUAUUAUUACUUUUACUAAAACUGGUCUUUAGCGACAAGUUAUAGUAUAAGUUAAUUAUAGCUAAAUAUGUUUCUUAAAGGUAUAUAUUACUCUUUGUAAAUGUUGCUAAAACCUCUAAAGAUAUUGCAUUCAAUGUCAAUUAACUAAUGUCGAUAAAUAUUUUAUUAUUUUUUUAUUAAUGUACAUAUUUUUUUUCACGAAAAAUUGCUUUUUUGGGGAGUAUACCUCCUAUGCUUUUCAAACCCCUUUCUAGUCCUCUUAUCCUUAGUUCCCCUUAUCUUUUCUUCUUGCCCUAUUCAAUGUUAAUUAGGCAUGUUUCAGCAUGCUGCUUUGAUAUUUUUGAAUUUCAAACUAACAUAAUUUAAUUGAUUUUGCCGGAUCUAUACGAAAUCAAAAUGGUCAUAUAUUCUAGGAUGAUUCAACUUUAAUAAGUUGAAACAUAUUAACAAAUUUAUUAUAUUGUGUAUAGCUUAGUCUAGCUUCAUUAUUUUCCACAUGAUACAUUCUUAAUCUUAGAAUAUAAGCUAUUAGUUUUUAGCACUUCAAAUGAUGAUGUUUUCAUAAAUGUUGACAUUGACAAAUUUAUAAUCUAAUUCAUCAUAUAUAUAUAUAUAUCUAAGCACAUGGAACUAGUCUUUUCCUUGAAAUAAGAUGCAAUGAAAAAAAAUAACUUUGCUAAUGAAGCAUGACAACUAUGUUCACAUUAUUUUACAAGGUAUUUGUUGAAUAUAUCUAACGUUUAUUUCACAAUAUCUACUUGAAAUUAUAAAUUAAAAAAAAAAGAGACAAACAAUUUAGAUAUAUUACAUCAAAAGGCGGUGCCUUCUAGUAGAUUAAAUAUUUUGCGCAUGAAAGUUAUAAACAAGUGAGAUCAGAAGUGGGACGUACAAAUUGAGAUUGUAUUUGUUGUGAACCAAACUAACUACAUAAGGGCCUAUGGGCUGGAAGUGGUGAAUGAGACUGGUCCAUUUAAGAUUAUUGGGCUGAUUAAAAUGUUGGAGAGUUUUAUUUGGAAUCCAGGCCCAACUAUCAAUUGGUUAAAUAGGUCUUUGAGUUAACACAAAAGGGUUAUGUGAAUUAUGAUUAUGCUUAGGCAAAGACUAUGCUUCUCAUCCCCAAUUCUCUCUUAGUUCCCUCAUCCCAUCUUCUUUAUAGCUACUGUUAUUGAUCGUCUUUUUCAUAUUGUAAUUGCUCAAUUUUCGUAUGAAUCAAAGCUUGUUAGUUUGUUCUCUCUAUUGUUUGUUGUUGAGUUGAGAAAAUCACUACAUCCAAGUAGCGUUUGUUACAGUAUCUAUGGUUGUUUUUCGAUUAAUUCGUUUUUGCACUAUAUAGAAUAGGCAUAAUACAUAAAUUGGACCCUAAAAUUGGCUUCGAAUUUUAAGUAUGACCUCUAACUUUCAAAGUGCACAAGUAGGCACUUCAACUAUCCAAUUCUUAAACAAAAAAACACCCGAAUCCAACCUGGCAUAACGCGUGAUUGAGACGCAAUUCAGGUGCGAGGCCCACAACAGUAAAAAAAAAAAAAAAAAAAAACGGGAAAAAAAAACAGUUAUCUGAUAAUCGUAUUAAGGUUUGAUUAGUCCAAAUUUGUAUAUUACAUGACUCAUUGUUAAAGGCGGUGCUUCCAACAAAAUUAAAAAAUGAGACGGAUCGAGGUAGAAGAUCUCUAACCAUGACCAUAAUGCAAUAACAAUAUGUAGAUAGUAAUCAGUAUGGAUCGUGGUGAAAUGGUUGAGAUUCCUCUAUCCUUGACCAGAAAUUUCAUAUUCGAGCCCUAAUAUGCCGAAUGAAAAAAGAAGACAAUAUGCAGAUAGUAAACCAAUUCAAAACUUGAAACACAAUACACAACUGUACAUGCUAAAAAUUAGAGCAAUCAUGCCAGAAUAAUUGAGUAUCUUAGAAAGGAAAUUAAAAGGACAAAAAAUCACUCUCAUUCUUAAAACUAUGUACUGAUUUUUGUCAUAUUUCCAAACAACAACCAUAUUGAACAUGACCACUAUAUUCAUCAGAAGUUUCUACUUUUGUCCAUUUUUUCACUUUGUCAUCACUCUCCACAUCCAAAUCCAAAGCAUAAAUACUAUAUAGUUCAUCAAAUUGGCCCCUUCCCACCAAUAUCAACUUCCCUUGACACGCUGUCAAAUAUGCCACGCUGGUAAUCCCUGCUGGCAACCCCGCC
rnacentral:lncRNA from 1 species